UCACGGAUGUGCUUUGGGCAGCAAUGUUUGGAGCUUUGCUGAUACUGGCUACGUCAUUAGGCAGCUACUGUGAAUCACCUCUGAGACACUCAGCUCUCCCCAUGCACUGAAAGGAAGUCUAGGUUGGACCGCAUAGGAUGUGCACUCUGGAUUGUGCAGCGUUGUGUCCGUGAACUUCCAGAGUUUGCAUUAAAAACUGACAGAACAUCACCGUGCCAGAAACUUCUCAUUUUGCGGCUCUGAAGCAAUGCUAUUAAACAAAUGAGAAGCAAGAGCUGCUCUAACUUCUAUGCUGCAUGAAGACAGAAGGCUCACUACAUGCAAUUUGAAAAAAGUAUUGAAGAUAGACAGGAUUGGAAGGCCCGUGAAGCAUCCUGGAGCAUGCCUACUGCAGCAGGAAGAAUUCAGGCUAAAAGAUGUCUCUUUUCUUCAUGGACAAGGGAAUCGGCUGAAAAUGAAGAAUAAACUGGAUGGGAUGAGAAGACUCCACUAAAAUAAGAAACCUAGAGGUGGCACGUUUGCAAAGUGGUUUGUUAAGCUCGGGCUACCUUUCUGUUAGGGUGAGUGUCACACUUCCAAAAGCUGUAUUUCUGUAGCUCUUGCCUUCAGGAGGUACUGGAUGUCACUGCCUUGCAGACACAGCCCAGGCCCGGGGUGCUGUCUGGCUGCUCCCAGCACUGCAAUGGAGACAGGGCUGUGAGCACAGCCGGGCUGGACACAGAGCAGCAACAUUCAAGAGGUCUUACGGCCAAAUUCCACCUUCACCCCCCAGCCCCAAAGGAUUUAGUUGCCUAAAUCAGGGCUUAUGUAGACAUUGAGGGGGUGUGGGGGGUGGAACAAAACACCUUAUUUUCUCUCCAGAAGCCCCUAAUUUGUAGCUACCAUUUGACAUUGUAAGAUGAGUCCAUUGGAGCUGAGAGUUGCCUCAAGAGAGGCCCAGCUUUUGGGGUACGUAAUGAAACACAGGGGUGUGCUGGGCUCUAAGUGAGACACUGAGCAUCACUGACCCCAGAAGCAGAGCCCAAAAGUGUGGUGUGAGCAGGAGACCCAGUCCCCCCAUCCCAGCAUCAGUGAGGCUGUAGCUCACCCACUGCUGCAGCAUCAAACAGGGCAGGGAUGGGGGGAACUCUGGGGAUCAACAGUUGUCAAAUUAGCCAGCAUCAACAAUAGCAAACAAAAGGGGCCACAGAGUCAGGCAUGUACAGAGACGGAAAAUACGCAGCCAGAAUUUUUUUAGCUUUCAGUUAUUAGUGCCUAUAGAGCCCAGUUAAACACAAAACCUCUCCAAAUUUUUCUUCAAUUAUUUAAAAAAUAAUUUAUAGCCUUGAUUAAUAAAUAACAGUAACCACUAUCAGCUUCCUGUACAUGUAGGUCAAUCAUCUGCAAAACUUGAACAUUAGAGCCAUAAAAUACAGGGGGGUAUGAGGUUAUUUGUUGUUUUGGUUGUGUGUUAUUUUUUUUUCCUUUUGUAAAUGCUUUUACUGCACUGCUUGCUCCUUUUCCUGAGCUGGCCAGGGCAGAUCUGAUGAAGACCCUGAAGAAAGAAGGUAGGACUAGUAGAGGCUGCAGUCACUCCUCCAGCUUCAGCAGCUGCAUCUGGACUUGCUCCUCGUGCAGUGACUGAAGAAUCUGAGUCACUCCAUGCUUUGUUCUAUGACAUUUUGUUUCACAAGCUUUGCAGUUUGAAAAAUUACUACUGCA